CGCGCGCAGAACGCCUGCGUCUGAGGAUGCGCAUGCGUACACCGCCGUCCAACGCUCCUGCCACCUCCGCUCCUCUUGUCCAACUCCUUUAGGAGCCCAACCUGUGCCUGCUCCACUAUCCCAUGCUGGCCUAGGAGGCUCCAGAGAGCGGGCUGCUUCCUCAGCAGUCAGCAUGAUGCAACCAAAAUGUCCCCUUGGAUGUGCACAGUCCUUUCUUUCACAAGGAAACUUCCAAAUAUUGAAUUAUGACAUGCUGUGGGGGAAGCUAGCCGCCAUGUUGUGAAGGCACGCAAGCAGUCCUACAGAGGUCCACAUGGUGAGGAACUGAGGCCUCCUGCAGCCAGCCAGCACUGUCUUGCCAGCCAUGAGAAGUAGCUACUUUGCAAAUGGAUCUUCCAGUCCAUCAGUCCAUCAGGCAUUCAAAUGACUGUAGCCUGACUGACAACUGACUGCAACCUCCUGAGACCUUGAAUCAGAACUACCCAGCUCCCGAAUUCCUGACCCAUAGCAUCUGUGGGGUAUAAGAAAUGUUUCGGAAUAAUUAAUUACAUUUCAAUAGACAAUUGACACACAUCUAAAAGUAUCUUUUUUUUGCAUAAAAUUGUUAAAGUCC